rnacentral:rRNA from 1 species
CCUACGGGAGGCAGCAGUGGGGAAUCUUGCGCAAUGGCCGAGAGGCUGACGCAGCGACGCCGCGUGGGGGAUGAAGCAUUUCGGUGUGUAAACCCCCUGUUGCUCGGGACGAACGACCGGUUUCGACCGGUGUGACGGUACCGAGUGAGGAAGCACCGGCUAACUCCGUGCCAGCAGCCGCGGUAAUACGGAGGGUGCGAGCGUUGUCCGGAAUCACUGGGCGUAAAGGGCGCGUAGGUGGUUAGAUGCGCCGGUGGUGAAAGCGCAGGGCUCAACCCUGCGUCGGCCAUCGGGACGGUCUGACUGGAGCACUGUAGAGGCAGGUGGAAUUCCGGGUGUAGCGGUGGAAUGCGUAGAGAUCCGGAAGAACACCGGUGCGAAGGCGGCCUGCUGGGCAGUUGCUGACACUGAGGCGCGACAGCGUGGGGAGCAAACAGGAUUAGAUACCCUGGUAGUCCACGCCGUAAACGAUGGGCACUAGGUGCUUGGGGGAGCGACCCCCUGNGUGCGCGCACGCAGUAGUGCCCGCCGUCGGGAGGACGACCGCGUAAGGUAGUAACGUUACGAAGUAAGUUAGACGGCGNGAGACGNGCGACGGACGACGACGAGGGAGAGG